rnacentral:lncRNA from 1 species
CGUCCUCGUCGUCCUCGCAAAUGCGGACUCAGAGCAAAGCAGCUCCCUUUGGCACGGGGAGGAGCGCCGCUAACUCGACCACGCUCGCUCCCGUGAGGCGGCUCGCUUGCCGGCGAUCUCCGACGGACGGCUCGCUAGGAGACGCCUGCAGUUCCCGUUCUGGCAGCGGCUCGGUGCAAGCGCAGGCCCAAGGGAGAUGUCAGCUGCGGAGACGUGCCCUUCCUCCACAGCACGGGAAAGCAAGUCGGGGAGAAGAGCUGGAGGCAGCUGAACCUAUAUGAGAAAAUGGAACUGAGAGACCCUGCGAAGGAGGAGAUCCCUGAGAAAAAGCGCAACACCAGCCAGAAGCUCAGCCUCGGAUACCUGCACAUGGCCGUCAGACAGAAGGCUGCUCUUCAUUAACAUCCGUCGUUGCCGUCAUCCUCCCUACGGCUUCUCCUGUAAGAAGAUGUGGAAGAAGAGAAACUGAGCACAAAGCUGCCAC